AGAGUUUGAUCCUGGCUCAGAGCGAACGCUGGCGGCGUGCUUAACACAUGCAAGUCGAACGAGGUCUGUAGCAAUACAGAUACUCGUGGCGAACGGGUGCGUAACACGUGGAUAACCUUCCUUGAGGUGGGGAAUAACCCAGUGAAAAUUGGGCUAAUACCGCAUAACAUGACGAUGGCACAUGCCGUUGUCUUCAAAGGCGCAAGUCGCCACAAGAGGGAUCCGCGGCCGAUUAGCUUGUUGGCGAGGUAAUGGCUCACCAAGGCGAUGAUCGGUAGCCGGACUGAGAGGUUGGCCGGCCACACUGGAACUGAGACACGGUCCAGACUCCUACGGGAGGCAGCAGUGGGGAAUCUUGCACAAUGGACGAAAGUCUGAUGCAGCAACGCCGCGUGGGGGAUGAAGCUUCUCGGAGUGUAAACCCCUUUCGACCCGGACGAAUGCCCGCAAGGGCUUGACGGUACGGGUAUAAGAAGCCCCGGCUAACUACGUGUCAGCAGCCGCGGUAAGACGUAGGGGGCCAGCGUUGCUCGGAAUUACUGGGCGUAAAGGGUCCGUAGGCGGUGCGGUAAGUUGGGAGUGAAAUCUCUGGGCUUAACCCAGAGGCUGCUUCCAAAACUACCGUGCUCGAGUGUGAGAGAGGCAAGUGGAAUUGCGGGUGUAGCGGUGAAAUGCGUAGAUAUCCGCAGGAACAUCCGAGGCGAAAGCGGCUUGCUGGAUCACAACUGACGCUGAGGGACGAAAGCUAGGGGAGCAAACAGGAUUAGAUACCCUGGUAGUCCUAGCCCUAAACCAUCAGACUUGGGGUUUGCCCUGUACGGGGCAAGUCCCGUAGCUAACGCGUUAAGUCCUGCGCCUGGGGAGUACGGUCGCAGACUGAAACUCAAAGGAAUUGACGGGGCCCGCACAAGCGGUGGAACAUGUGGUUCAAUUCGACGCAACGCGAAGAACCUUACCUG
rnacentral:rRNA from 1 species